ensembl:rRNA 5S_rRNA 5S ribosomal RNA
UGCCACAGUCACAUCACCCUGCAGCCUAAGAGCGGUUACUCGCUGAAGCUAAGCAGGGCAGAGCCUGGUCAAUACCUGAAAGGGAGACCACAUGGGAAAACUAGGUUGCUUUUGAAA